UACGUAGGGGGCGAGCGUUGUGCGGAAUCAUUGGGCGUAAAGCGCGUGUAGGCGGCUCGAUAAGUCCGGUGUGAAACCUUGGGGCUCAACCCCAAGCCUGCACUGGAUACUGCCGAGCUAGAGUCCGGGAGGGGAGAGCGGAAUUCCUAGUGUAGCGGUGAAAUGCGCAGAUAUUAGGAAGAACACCGGUGGCGAAGGCGGCUCUCUGGAACGGUACUGACGCUGAGACGCGAAAGCGUGGGGAGCGAACAGG
rnacentral:rRNA from 1 species